UACGUAGGGUGCAAGCGUUAAUCGGAAUUACUGGGCGUAAAGCGUGCGCAGGCGGUUGUUCAAGUCAGAUGUGAAAUCCCCGGGCUCAACCUGGGAACUGCAUUUGUGACUGCACGGCUGGAGUGCGGCAGAGGGGGAUGGAAUUCCGCGUGUAGCAGUGAAAUGCGUAGAUAUGCGGAGGAACACCGAUGGCGAAGGCAAUCCCCUGGGCCUGCACUGACGCUCAUGCACGAAAGCGUGGGGAGCAAACAGG
rnacentral:rRNA from 1 species